rnacentral:rRNA from 1 species
UGGGCGCAAGCCUGAUGCAGCCAUGCCGCGUGUGUGAANAAGCCUUCGGGUUGUAAAGCACUUUCAGUANGGANGAAAGGUUAAGUGUUAAUANCACUUAGCUGUGACGUCACUUACAGAAGAAGCACCGGCUAACUCCGUGCCNGCAGCCGCGGUANUACCGAGGGUGCNANCGUNNAUCGGAAUUACUGGGCGUANAGCGUACGCAGGCGGUUUGUUAAGCGAGAUGUGAAAGCCCCGGGCUCAACCUGGGAACUGCAUUUCGAACUGGCAAACUAGAGUGUGAUANAGGGUGGUAGAAUUUCANGUGUAGCGGUGAAAUGCGUANAGAUCUGAAGGAAUACCGAUGGCGAAGGCAGCCACCUGGGUCAACACUGACGCUCAUGUACGAAAGCGUGGGGAGCAAACAGGAUUAGAUACCCUGGUAGUCCACGCCGUAAACGAUGUCUACUANAAGCUCGGGUCUUCGGACUUGUUUUUCAAAGCUAACGCAUUAAGUANACCGCCUGGGGAGUACGGCCGCAAGGUUAAAACUCAAAG